AAAUUGAAGAGUUUGAUCAUGGCUCAGAUUGAACGCUGGCGGCAGGCCUAACACAUGCAAGUCGAACGGUAACAGGAAGCAGCUUGCUGCUUCGCUGACGAGUGGCGGACGGGUGAGUAAUGUCUGGGAAACUGCCUGAUGGAGGGGGAUAACUACUGGAAACGGUAGCUAAUACCGCAUAAUGUCGCAAGACCAAAGAGGGGGACCUUCGGGCCUCUUGCCAUCGGAUGUGCCCAGAUGGGAUUAGCUUGUUGGUGGGGUAACGGCUCACCAAGGCGACGAUCCCUAGCUGGUCUGAGAGGAUGACCAGCCACACUGGAACUGAGACACGGUCCAGACUCCUACGGGAGGCAGCAGUGGGGAAUAUUGCACAAUGGGCGCAAGCCUGAUGCAGCCAUGCCGCGUGUAUGAAGAAGGCCUUCGGGUUGUAAAGUACUUUCAGCGGGGAGGAAGGGAGUAAAGUUAAUACCUUUGCUCAUUGACGUUACCCGCAGAAGAAGCACCGGCUAACUCCGUGCCAGCAGCCGCGGUAAUACGGAG
rnacentral:rRNA from 1 species